rnacentral:misc_RNA from 1 species
AAGGAUCAUUAUCGUAGGGCUUCGGCCCUGUCGAGAUAGAACCCUUGCCUUUUUGAGUACCUUUCGUUUCCUCGGCAGCUUCGGCUGCCAAUGGGGACCCCAAAAAACACUUUGCAGUACCUGUAACAGUCUGAACAAACAAACAAAAAUUAAAACUUUCAACAACGGAUCUCUUGGUUCUGGCAUCGAUGAAGAGCGCAGCCGAAACAUAUACAACUUUCAGCAAUGGAUCUCUUGGCUCUC